CCGGGCCUUCGGGCCCGGGGACAGCGGCGAACGGGUGAGUAACACGUGGGUAAUCUGCCCUCGGUACUGGGAUAGCCCGGGGAAACCCGGAUUAAUACCGGAUGGCCCUUCGAGUCUUCGGGCUCGCAGGAAAAGGUAGCUUCGGCCUCCGACCGAGGAUGAGCUCGCGGCGGAUUAGCUCGUUGGUGGGGUAACGGCCUACCAAGGCGACGAUCCGUAGCUGGUCUGAGAGGACGAUCAGCCACACUGGGACUGAGACACGGCCCAGACUCCUACGGGAGGCAGCAGUGGGGAAUCUUGCGCAAUGGGCGAAAGCCUGACGCAGCGACGCCGCGUGAGGGAAGAAGGCCUUCGGGUUGUAAACCUCUUUCAGGAGGGACGAAGCUACUCGGGUGAAUAGCCCAGAGGGUGACGGUACCUCCAGAAGAAGCCCCGGCUAACUACGUGCCAGCAGCCGCGGUAAUACGUAGGGGGCAAGCGUUGUCCGGAUUUAUUGGGCGUAAAGAGCGUGUAGGCGGCUAGAUAGGUCCGUUGUGAAACCUGGAGGCUCAACCUCCAGCUGUCGAUGGAAACCAUCUGGCUAGAGUCCGGAAGAGGAGAGUGGAAUUCCUGGUGUAGCGGUGAAAUGCGCAGAUAUCAGGAAGAACACCCGUGGCGAAGGCGGCUCUCUGGGACGUGACUGACGCUGAGACGCGAAAGCGUGGGGAGCGAACAGGAUUAGAUACCCUGGUAGUCCACGCCGUAAACGAUGGGUGCUAGGUGUGGGCGGUGUCGACU
rnacentral:rRNA from 1 species